GCAGUUCGAGCGGUAGCACAGAGAGCUUGCUCUCGGGUGACGAGCGGCGGACGGGUGAGUAAUGUCUGGGAAACUGCCUGAUGGAGGGGGAUAACUACUGGAAACGGUAGCUAAUACCGCAUAACGUCGCAAGACCAAAGUGGGGGACCUUCGGGCCUCAUGCCAUCAGAUGUGCCCAGAUGGGAUUAGCUAGUAGGUGGGGUAACGGCUCACCUAGGCGACGAUCCCUAGCUGGUCUGAGAGGAUGACCAGCCACACUGGAACUGAGACACGGUCCAGACUCCUACGGGAGGCAGCAGUGGGGAAUAUUGCACAAUGGGCGCAAGCCUGAUGCAGCCAUGCCGCGUGUGUGAAGAAGGCCUUCGGGUUGUAAAGCACUUUCAGCGGGGAGGAAGGCGAUAAGGUUAAUAACCUUGUCGAUUGACGUUACCCGCAGAAGAAGCACCGGCUAACUCCGUGCCAGCAGCCGCGGUAAUACGGAGGGUGCAAGCGUUAAUCGGAAUUACUGGGCGUAAAGCGCACGCAGGCGGUCUGUCAAGUCGGAUGUGAAAUCCCCGGGCUCAACCUGGGAACUGCAUUCGAAACUGGCAGGCUAGAGUCUUGUAGAGGGGGGUAGAAUUCCAGGUGUAGCGGUAAAAUGCGUAGAGAUCUGGAGGAAUACCGGUGGCGAAGGCCGCCCCCUGGACAAAGACCCACACUUUUGUGCCAAAACAUCGGGGAUCAUACAUGGGGGGAGCCCCCGGCGCUCCCCGUCCUCCACAAUAUCUAUAUGUAAAUCGA
rnacentral:rRNA from 1 species